rnacentral:tRNA from 1 species
CAGACUGAAGCUUUAUAUGAAGCAUUUUAUUUACAUUAAAAAGAUUAUUUUUAAUACAGUUUGA